rnacentral:rRNA from 1 species
AUUGAACGCUGGCGGAAUGCUUUACACAUGCAAGUCGAACGGCAGCACGGGUGCUUGCACCUGGUGGCGAGUGGCGAACGGGUGAGUAAUGCACCGGAACGUAUCCAAUAAUGGGGGAUAACGCACCGAAAGGUGUGCUAAUACCGCAUACGCCCUGAGGGGGAAAGCGGGGGAUCGUAAGACCUCGCGUUAAUGGAGCGGCCGAUGCCGGAUUAGCUAGUUGGUGAGGUAAAGGCUCACCAAGGCGACGAUCCGUAGCUGGUCUGAGAGGACGACCAGCCACACUGGAACUGAGACACGGUCCAGACUCCUACGGGAGGCAGCAGUGGGGAAUUUUGGACAAUGGGCGCAAGCCUGAUCCAGCCAUUCCGCGUGAGUGAA